rnacentral:misc_RNA from 1 species
GCCUGUUCGAGCGUCAUUUCAACCCUCAAGCACUGCUUGGUAUUGGAUGCCACUGCGCAUGGUGCAUCUUAAAAGCAUUGGCGGCAGCAUUUAGCUCUAGCAUAGUAAAUUUCUUGCUCUGGAGCUUAGAUGUCUGCCUGCCAGAAACUCAUAUUUCAAAGGUUGACCUCGGAUCAGGUAGGGAUACCCGCUGAACUUAA